rnacentral:lncRNA from 1 species
UCACCCCAUUAAUUAAAGAAGUGCAUCCUCUCUCAAUUCUCCUCACCAUCUCUCUCUCUAGAGCUUGUUUGUUCUGCAACACUCUUGUUCUAUUCUCAAGCUCUUCUUUUCAUGGCACUCCUUUCUUUUUUACCAGAAACCUCACCGGAUGCCAAAAAACAAAAACCCUCAUCAUCCAAACGCCGAAAAAAGCAAAAACAACAAAAGCAGCAAACAUCUUCAUGGGACCAAAUCAAGAACUUGCUCGCUUGCAAACAGAUCGAAACCUCAACUAAUGUUCAACAUCCUUCUUC